rfam:Burkholderia sp. ST111 contig_32, whole genome shotgun sequence.
UGCAUUGUCGGGAGGCAAAGUUUAGCGCGUAGAAUAGCGUCACUGCGAAGCACGGAAGCCGGUGAGAGCCCGGCGCGGUCGCGCCACUGUAAUCGGCAUUCAUGAGCCGAAAGCCAGACCUGAGCUUCGCACCAUCCCUCUUC